CAACAUACUUGCAGUAGAUGGCACAUUGAUGAUUGACUCGGCUACCAAGGUACAUAACACAAUUGCAACUAAUAUAGUUUCAAAACGUGAUUACUUUCGAGCCAAGCUUAUGAUUUUGUAUGUCAGAAGUUUGUGGGGUAAACACAUGUUUACAAGAAUGGCAUGGUCAAAGCUUCGCAUCAAAGCUCAAUUAAGAUAUUAGGACUGGAAUGGUUUAAGAAGUGUAGGAUUUGAAGCAUGUUUGAGUAUGUCGAUUUGUCUGAAGACUAAAGUUUUAAACAUCAAGCGUAGAUGGGUAGAGUACUUCAGUUUUGAAAUGUAACAUGCUAUACCUCGGGACAAUUAUGCCUUAUGGUAUCACAUAUGAGUAGACUGGUCAUAUUGUAUUUUUCAUGCUGUAAAGAAAUAUGUUUCAUCAGAAAGAAGCAGUCGAAAAAAUAAAAAGUUUCUUAGAAGAUGGAUGAGUCCAUGGAAUUUUCUGUCUGCAGUCUCUCAUAAAGCUUGGCAAUUCUGCGGUGUGGACUAAGUCUCUUAUAGAUGAACUGCAGGUUCCCAUACUGUUUUAUAAGAUAUAUCCUUCUCCUCGUUAGUGUUUUUGUGAAUUUCUUCUUCAGUGAAGUGAACAUAUUUGUCAUCAUUACUUUAUGAUGAUGACUAUUUCUGCUUACACUUUUAGAUGGGCUGCAUUUCAACACAUCACAAACACUACUGUGGGAAUAUAUGUAUUCAUUAUAUUAUAAUACUGAUUCAGCUAAUCCCUUUCACCCACCUAAUCCCUUUCAAAUUGAUGAACAUCCUCCAAAACUGGUUUGUCCAUUUGCAGUGCAGAAGAAGAUGGUUGAUUGUCUCAGCUUGUUACCCACAUAGAAAACACCUAGAUGCUAGUUGGUAUCCCCUUUUGUUGAGAUUUUCAUGAGUUACACUGCUUCUUUAGCCAAAAGCCAGAUGAAACAGUUAACUUUGAAGGGAAUUUUUAGUUUCCAUAUCAUCUUCCAAGGGCAAUCUCUUUCCUUCACCACUUCUACAUUUAACUCCCUGUAUGCAGGCAUCCAACGCAUUUCAGCCAGUCAUUCUUUUCAUAUGAUGUAUCCAAGCAAAGAAUAUGCAUUAUGUGUAUGUAUGUGCAGGAGUCAUGAGGGGCAGUGUUGUAUGACAGUGCAGCAACGAAUUGCACAGGACACAAUGUGUUUGAAGGCGGAAGUUGAUGAAAUAGAGCAUGCUUGCUGCUUCUCAGCAUUUAUAUUGCUUACAGUGUGUGAACUAUAAGCAAUUUGCAUGUAAGAAGGCAGGCCAUGAUCCUAUUUCAAGGUUACUUUUCAUCUGUGCCAUUCGAAGGUGAUUACCUCUUCGCUUUAUUUACUUGCCUGAAACUCAUAUUAUUGAUUAGAGACUUAGAAGUGUCGACAUAAAUUUCAAAAAAUUAAUCGAG
rnacentral:lncRNA from 1 species